AUGGUUAAGCUAGAAAGAGCACACGGAGGAUGCCUAGGCACUAGGAGCCGAAGAAGGACGUGGCGAACGACGAAAUGCCUCGG
rnacentral:rRNA from 2 species